CGUUCAUCAGAUUGGUAAAACCAGAAAUAAAUGCAAUUAAAGUAAAAGGAUUUACACUUGUAGGUAAUACAUUUCAGAAGACAAUCGAGUCUUCACUGCAGAUGUAUCUUGAGAGACAGAGAUCAAGAUUUUAAUUUCCAAGUUCACCUUUGCUCCCUGAACCUCUAGUGGUGCCCUUUGAGAUUUGGGAUGCCUGACAGAGACAGACUCUGCACCCUACCUCCGUUUCCCACCCUGGUCACUCAGGGCAUUGAUUUGUGGCCACACAAGUCAGGCUUUGAUUUGUCAUGUUUGUCCUGUGAAGGAGAAAUUUGUGUUGAAGAUGUUCGAGGUCUGGCAGUAGCAAGAAAUUGUGAACCCCAACCAGAUGGAUCAAAGGGUGAACUGAUGACAUCUUUACCAGCAGAUGACAUGGACUUCAUGACUGUGAGGCCCAAGGUCCUUUGGGUGAAGAGUAGAGAACAUCAGACUCUCAGCAUGGCCUGGAGAUCUGCCUGUCCGACCUGCUGAGGGCACUGCUGGAAAUUAAUGCACCUGCAGUCAGAUGUAAGAGGGAGGAGUAGAUUUUCUGUGAAAGCUUUUACAACAUGUUGAUGUCUCUGGGGUUAUUUGUGUCUACUGUAUCAUUAGUUUCUGUCUUUCAGAAUUCAAUGAAUGAUUAAAAGAUCUACCCAAAAUGCAGAUAUUUCAGAGGGAAAAAUAAGCCUGUGUUUUCCAUUUCAUUGCUCUCCACAUAUGUCAGAUUCCUGCAGGAUGGUUCUAACUCACCAGAGUUGACAGUCAUCACCAUAAGAUAAAAUUCUGAGAGCUCUGUUUCAUUUGGCCUUGUCAAAAGAAACCAAUAUAAUUGUAUAAUUAUGUCAUCACAGAAAAGCAUCUUCCUCAUCCAGGUUUUCAGCUUUCAUGAAUUUGGUUACAAAAACCAAACCAAACCAAACCAAAUUACUUUAGCAUCUGGCUUGUAUUUAAAAGCAUGAAUGUAAUUCCUUCAAUUGAUGCUGAGGAUUAUAUUUGUAUUACAGUGUUUGGGGAAAA
rnacentral:lncRNA from 13 species